GACGAACGCUGGCGGCGUGCCUAAUACAUGCAAGUAGAACGCACAGUUUAUACCGUAGCUUGCUACACCAUAGACUGUGAGUUGCGAACGGGUGAGUAACGCGUAGGUAACCUGCCUGGUAGCGGGGGAUAACUAUUGGAAACGAUAGCUAAUACCGCAUAAUAUUGAUUAUUGCAUGAUAAUUGAUUGAAAGAUGCUAUUGCAUCACUACCAGAUGGACCUGCGUUGUAUUAGCUAGUAGGUGAGGUAACGGCUCACCUAGGCGACGAUACAUAGCCGACCUGAGAGGGUGAUCGGCCACACUGGGACGGAGACACGGCCCAGACUCCUACGGGAGGCAGCAGUAGGGAAUCUUCGGCAAUGGACGAAAGUCUGACCGAGCAACGCCGCGUGAGUGAAGAAGGUUUUCGGAUCGUAAAGCUCGGUUGUAAGAGAAGAACGGGUGUGAGAGUGGAAAGUUCACACUGUGACGGUAUCUUACCAGAAAGGGACGGCUAACUACGCG
rnacentral:rRNA from 1 species